rnacentral:rRNA from 1 species
CCUACGGGAGGCAGCAGUGAGGAAUAUUGGUCAAUGGGCGCGAGCCUGAACCAGCCAAGUAGCGUGAAGGAUGACUGCCCUACGGGUUGUAAACUUCUUUUAUAAAGGAAUAAAGUGAGGCACGUGUGCCUUUUUGUAUGUACUUUAUGAAUAAGGAUCGGCUAACUCCGUGCCAGCAGCCGCGGUAAUACGGAGGAUCCGAGCUUUAUCCGGAUUUAUUGGGUUUAAAGGGAGCGUAGAUGGGUUGUUAAGUCAGUUGUGAAAGUUUGCGGCUCAACCGUAAAAUUGCAAUUGAUACUGGCAUUCUUGAGUACAGUUGAGGUAGGCGGAAUUCGUGGUGUGGCGGUUAACUGCUUAGAUCUCACGAAGAACUCCGUUUGCGACGGCAGCUUACUAAACUGCCACUGACAUUGAUGCUCGAAUGUGUGGGUCUCAAACCGACUAGAUACCCUAGUAGUC